GCCUUGGUGGCUCAGUGGUUGAGCGUCGACCUAUGAACCAGGAGGUCAGGGUUCGAGUCCCGGUCAGGGCA
rnacentral:tRNA from 1 species